ensembl:lncRNA
CGGACGUUGCUCUCUGCCCCGGGAGCGUCGAGACUGGAGCGCCCGAGCUGAGCCCACUCGCGGAGCCGGAGGGCGGCGGCCCGACUCACCGCGGAGGCGCCCGAACGCGUCAAUCUCAGAGAAAACCACCCUGGGCUGGGAGAGUAUUUCUGUUCCUUCUGGGAUUGGUGGUAUGUGUGUGUGCACAUGCAUGUGCAAUCAUGAAUGUACACGGGCAUGUACAUGAAUGUAUACGUGUGUGCAUGCAAGUACACGGGCAUGUAUGCAUGCAUGCAUGGGCAUAUGUACCUGUGUGCACAUAUGUGUGCAUGAUUGUACAUGGGGCAUGCAUGCGUGUGUACAUGGGCAUAUGAAUCUGCACACACAUGUGUGCAUGCAUGUACAUGGGGGCAUGCAUGCACGCACAUGUGCAUGGGCAUAUGCACACGCACACAUGUGUGCAUGCAUGCACAUGGGGCGUGUAUGCAUGCAUGUGUGCUUAUGUGCAUAUACACACGUGUGUGCAUGUGCACAUGUGUGCAUGUGUGUACGUGGGGCAUGCAUGCAUGCAUGUGUGCAUGCACCUGCGUGUAUGUGCACAAUGUGUGUACAUGGGGCAUGUAUGUGUGCAUGCAUGUGUGCAUGCAUGUGUGCAUGUGUGUAUGUGCACAAUGUGUGUACAUGGGGCAUGUAUGUGUGCAUGCACCUGCAUGUAUGUGCACAAUGUGUGUACAUGGGGCAUGUAUGUGUGCAUGCAUGUGUGCAUGCGUGUAUGUGCACAAUGUGUGUACAUGGGGCAUGUAUGUGUGCAUGCAUGCAUGUGUGCAUGUGUGUAUGUGCACAAUGUGUGUACAUGGGGCAUGUAUGUGUGCAUGCACCUGCAUGUAUGUGCACAAUGUGUGUACAUGGGGCAUGUAUGUGUGCAUGCAUGUGUGCAUGUGUGUACGCACCUGUGUGUGCACGUGCACAUGUGUGUAUGGCAUGGUCCAGGGCAGGCGUAAGGCCAGCCCUCUGGUCCCCUCUGUAGGAUCAGCCCUUCCAGCGGCACCAGGUGACUCCUUCCAGGCCCACGGACACAGCAGCGCCCUGGUCCUGAAGGCCGCCACCUGCUCUGGCAUCUGCUGUUUCUUGGGUGGGCAGGCUGCGCUCCACACCUCAGGGUCCCAGGCCCAUCUGGCCCGCACAACCUCUUCUGCAGGGCCACCUCCUCAGACUUCGGGGACAGGUGGUCCAGCCUGCUCACCGGGAGGACUGUUGGAGAACUACAGGUGGUGCCUCUACACCAGACCUGGCUUCCUCACCGCCUGGCCAUGGGGGUCUGAGCCCUCCUGGCCAGGACCCGCGGUCUCCCGCCCUCUGCUCGGGCUUCCUGGUGCUGCAGGAGCUCCUGGUGCUUUCUGAACUCCGAGCUUCCUCUCGCAUGGCUCCCUCCAUCCUUCUCCUCCAUGUCACUUCCACCUGGCUCCCGCAGCCCCGCCCCCAGUGUUCUCCCUCCGCUGCCCACCCCGCUGCCCACCCAGCUGUCACGCUCGUCGCUGGAGCCUGGGCUUCGCCACGGCCUUCCGCUCCUGCAGCUGGCUCCAGACCCGCCCCUCCCAGCCUGGCCGGGCGGUGCUCCGAGGUGACUAACCAGAACCGGCACCGGGGAGGCGCCCAAUAAAGUUUUCGAAAUGAGUAAAUGUGUGUAGUGU